AGAGAGAUCUACACAAAAAAAUGGCAUUGCCAUUUAUCUCUGUAUGUCUUUUUUGUUUUCCUUGAUCGUGUGGUUAGGUUUUUAUUUGAUGAUGGGGUUGUGGAGAGAAUUUGUUUUUUUUUUUUUUUUUUUUUCAAAUAAGAAGGGAUUAAAAGAGGGGAGGCAUGAGAGGAUAUAGUAAUCCAGAGAUGCCGUUGGGAUUAAAACCACGUCUCAUCAUCAGCAGAAUGUAGUAGAGUUGAUAUUGAGAUAUUUUGUGUUA